rnacentral:rRNA from 1 species
GAUGAACGCUAGCGGCAGGCUUAACACAUGCAAGUCGAGGGGUAUAGUUCUUCGGAACUAGAGACCGGCGCACGGGUGCGUAACGCGUAUGCAAUCUACCUUUUGCAGAGGGAUAGCCCAGAGAAAUUUGGAUUAAUACCUCAUAGUAUGUGAGAAUGGCAUCAUUUUCACAUUAAAGUCACAACGGCAAAAGAUGAGCAUGCGUCCCAUUAGCUUGUUGGUAAGGUAACGGCUUACCAAGGCAACGAUGGGUAGGGGUCCUGAGAGGGAGAUCCCCCACACUGGUACGGAGACACGGACCAGCCUCCUACGGGAGGCAGCAGUGAGGAAUAUUGGACAAUGGGCGCAAGCCUGAUCCAGCCAUGCCGCGUGCAGGAUGACGGUCCUAUGGAUUGUAAACUGCUUUUGUACAGGAAGAAACACUGGUUCGUGAACCAGCUUGACGGUACUGUAAGAAUAAGGAUCGGCUAACUCCGUGCCAGCCGCCGCCGUAAGAC